UCAGAUUGAACGCUGGCGGCAGGCCUAACACAUGCAAGUCGAACGGUAACAGGAAGCAGCUUGCUGCUUCGCUGACGAGUGGCGGACGGGUGAGUAAUGUCUGGGAAGCUGCCUGAUGGAGGGGGAUAACUACUGGAAACGGUAGCUAAUACCGCAUAAUGUCGCAAGACCAAAGAGGGGGACCUUCGGGCCUCUUGCCAUCGGAUGUGCCCAGAUGGGAUUAGCUUGUUGGUGGGGUAACGGCUCACCAAGGCGACGAUCCCUAGCUGGUCUGAGAGGAUGACCAGCCACACUGGAACUGAGACACGGUCCAGACUCCUACGGGAGGCAGCAGUGGGGAAUAUUGCACAAUGGGCGCAAGCCUGAUGCAGCCAUGCCGCGUGUAUGAAGAAGGCCUUCGGGUUGUAAAGUACUUUCAGCGGGGAGGAAGGGAGUAAAGUUAAUACCUUUGCUCAUUGACGUUACCCGCAGAAGAAGCACCGGCUAACUCCGUGCCAGCAGCCGCGGUAAUACGGAGGGUGCAAGCGUUAAUCGGAAUUACUGGGCGUAAAGCGCACGCAGGCGGUUUGUUAAGUCAGAUGUGAAAUCCCCGGGCUCAACCUGGGAACUGCAUCUGAUACUGGCAAGCUUGAGUCUCGUAGAGGGGGGUAGAAUUCCAGGUGUAGCGGUGAAAUGCGUAGAGAUCUGGAGGAAUACCGGUGGCGAAGGCGGCCCCCUGGACGAAGACUGACGCUCAGGUGCGAAAGCGUGGGGAGCAAACAGGAUUAGAUACCCUGGUAGUCCACGCCGUAAACGAUGUCGACUUGGAGGUUGUGCCCUUGAGGCGUGGCUUCCGGAGCUAACGCGUUAAGUCGACCGCCUGGGGAGUACGGCCGCAAGGUUAAAACUCAAAUGAAUUGACGGGGGCCCGCACAAGCGGUGGAGCAUGUGGUUUAAUUCGAUGCAACGCGAAGAACCUUACCUGGUCUUGACAUCCACGGAAGUUUUCAGAGAUGAGAAUGUGCCUUCGGGAACCGUGAGACAGGUGCUGCAUGGCUGUCGUCAGCUCGUGUUGUGAAAUGUUGGGUUAAGUCCCGCAACGAGCGCAACCCUUAUCCUUUGUUGCCAGCGGUCCGGCCGGGAACUCAAAGGAGACUGCCAGUGAUAAACUGGAGGAAGGUGGGGAUGACGUCAAGUCAUCAUGGCCCUUACGACCAGGGCUACACACGUGCUACAAUGGCGCAUACAAAGAGAAGCGACCUCGCGAGAGCAAGCGGACCUCAUAAAGUGCGUCGUAGUCCGGAUUGGAGUCUGCAACUCGACUCCAUGAAGUCGGAAUCGCUAGUAAUCGUGGAUCAGAAUGCCACGGUGAAUACGUUCCCGGGCCUUGUACACACCGCCCGUCACACCAUGGGAGUGGGUUGCAAAAGAAGUAGGUAGCUUAACCUUCGGGAGGGCGCUUACCACUUUGUGAUUCAUGACUGGGGUGAAGUCGUAACAAGGUAACCGUAGGGGAACCUGCGGUUG
rnacentral:rRNA from 1 species